GGCCCUGCAGCCUCGUCAGGCUCAGUCCCCUCCCGAUAAACCCCUAAAUAGGGACCUUCCCGGGGGGCUGCCCGGGAUUUCUCCGCAGAAACCCCCAGUUUAAGAAGGCCUCUCCCCUACCCUGAGGUUGUGGAGGCGGUUGGGACCUCAAAGCGGAGAAUUGGGGGAGCUUGUGGGGCAGAACCGAGGAAAAACCUGCCGAACGGGAUUUAAUAGAAUUAAGCUCUUUUGGGGGCCAAGCGAUGUGCACGGGAUUUCAUUGAAAGACUCGGUCGCUUCGGCUUUCCGCCCCCCGCCCACGUGACAGUCCUACUUAUUUUUAAAAAUUAAAUGGCGCAUGUUUCACAGCGUCCUUAAUUACGACUAGUGCAGCCUAGUGGCGAGAGGAGGAGAAAACCUGCCGCCCGGGCUCCCUGCGAAGUCCUCGGUUGCUUUCUAGCAGUUUCGACCCAGCUGGCACAGAUAAAGCGCGUGCAAAGACUUAACGCUGGAUACUGUCACCAACAAUUAAAGAGGGCCGUGGCGACCUCAGUUAAAAAGUCGUGUUUUUAAAAGCCCUGAUCCAGAGCUCGUUACAAAUGAAUACAACGUUUCCAUUGACAGUGGACAAAAAAGGAGACCCUACAGUUACAAAAGCUUUGUGAAACUAACAGCACUUUUUUGUUUUAGCUGGAUAAACAUGCUGUGGGUGUGUUUUUUCAGUGGCACCUCACGAUUUUUCACUUGAUGUGAUUUUUUUUUUUUUAAAGACUCAUCAGGCCAACGUGGUGAUUUCUAAAACUGCCAGCUGCUCGCUAUUUCCUGUUGCAAAUUAGGAGAAAAACAAAGCACGUAUUAUCUGAACCUAGGCACAGUUGAGAAUGUGCUAGCAGAAUAUUACUCAAAACAUUCUACUUUUAAGUUUGCCCAGAAACAAAUUAACUUUACAAAAGAAUCAAGUCAUAUCUCAAAGCUGCAAAGAAAAAAAACUCAAGCAAACCUGCCCCCACGUUUGGCAGUGAAGGAGCUGAAAUGAACCAGGGAGAGUGUGAGAGAGAGGGAGAGAGAAUCCUUCAAUAUUUAUUUUCUAGUUUUCGGCGGACACAACAUCCUUGUUUGUAUGUGGUGCUGAGGAUCGAACCCGGGUCGCAUGCACGCCAGGCAAGCACUCCAUCGCUUGAGCCACUUCCCCAGCCCCCUGAAUAAAACU